AUGCAGUCGAGGGGCAGCAUGAACUUAGCUUGCUAAGUUUGAUGGCGACCGGCGCACGGGUGAGUAACACGUAUCCAACCUUCCGUUUACUCAGGGAUAGCCUUUCGAAAGAAAGAUUAAUACCUGAUAGUAUGGUGAGAUUGCAUGAUAGCACCAUUAAAGAUUUAUUGGUAAACGAUGGGGAUGCGUUCCAUUAGGUAGUAGGCGGGGUAACGGCCCACCUAGCCGACGAUGGAUAGGGGUUCUGAGAGGAAGGUCCCCCACAUUGGAACUGAGACACGGUCCAAACUCCUACGGGAGGCAGCAGUGAGGAAUAUUGGUCAAUGGGCGAGAGCCUGAACCAGCCAAGUAGCGUGAAGGAUGAAGGUCCUACGGAUUGUAAACUUCUUUUAUACGGGAAUAAAGUAUCCUACGUGUAGGAUUUUGUAUGUACCGUAUGAAUAAGCAUCGGCUAACUCCGUGCCAGCAGCCGCGGUAAUACGGAGGAUGCGAGCGUUAUCCGGAUUUAUUGGGUUUAAAGGGAGCGCAGACGGGAGAUUAAGUCAGUUGUGAAAGUUUGCGGCUCAACCGUAAAAUUGCAGUUGAUACUGGUUUUCUUGAGUGCAGUUGAGGCAGGCGGAAUUCGUGGUGUAGCGGUGAAAUGCUUAGAUAUCACGAAGAA
rnacentral:rRNA from 1 species